UACCACGUGAUGUGACGUCAUUGUGACGUUGUGUUUCUAAAAAUAGCUCGCGCGCGGUACCGCAUUGUAUCUCAAGGAUAAAGAGUAUCUCAAGGAUAAAGAGUUCCCCUUUAUCCUUGAGAUGCAGGUGGAUGACUGAGUCCUGUCCAGAGGAGGUGGCACUCCAGCGUUGAGACAUGCGAGAGGUUGUUUGGUUUCUCCAAUAUAAAGAUCAAAACAUUCCUUACUGCACUGAACUGCAUACACCACUCCGCUCAUCUUAGGCUUGGGAGUUUUGUCCUUAGGAUGGACCCGCCUGUUUGAGGGUUAAGUUGGGUUUGAAAUGUGCUGGGAUCUUGUGUUUAGAGAAAAUCCUCCUGAGGUUUUCAGAGACUCCAGCAACCCAUAUGUUGCUGAAGACUCUGAAAAGCUCAGGAGGAAAUUAACCACAAGCUUCAGUAAAGCAUUCAACAGUUUAAUUUGGGAUUAUGAAAAAUAAAAUAAAACAUUUUGUCAGGCUCUGCGGGCUGCGUCAGGUCAGAGUGCAGCUAUUUUCCUCCCUCUCUUUUCGCAGGUGGUUGCUGAUGAUUCGGGAGGCGUGGAACAGCAGGUGUCCGACAUUAUUCGGCCCUCAGCGGGGGUAUAUAAGCGAAAGGCUGCCAGCACAACACCGAGUGAUAAGCCGAGUGGUACAGGCCGCUCGGAUCCCGUUCGCAGGGCUCCUUGGACUCUGUGAAUCCCAACGUCUGAUCCCAUCAAAUCCUCUUGUCUGAGCUCUUUUUUUUUGUACUUUAUUGUCCUAGGACUUUUUUUCUCAUAUUAGUAACUUUGUCUUUAAUACUCCCCCAAAACGAUUGUUCCUAAUCUGUGACUAUACCAGAAUUUAGAAGGUUCACAUGUGACAUGGUUUCAUGAAAUAAUAAGACCACAAUGUUUAGAUUUAACCAAUUGACCAAUUCUUCUGAGGAGUCCACCAAGGAACCUGCGCCCAUCCUCCCUCCCUUCUGCACAAUCGGCUCCCUCCACUGGGAGGGAGCCGAUUGUGUUGAUGCAUCUCCCAGGCUGCGCAGACUAAUCCUCUAAAGACCUCCCAACUAGAACUACCUCCCAAAAACUGGCCCCUCAUUUUACUGGUCCCUACAUCAUCGAUUCCACAAUCAGCACCACCUCCGUCUGCCCCUGCAUUCCUGUAUGCACCCGACCUUCCAUGUUUCCCAGCUCAAGGCAGUCCGCUCCAGUUCCUAGGCUUUGUUUAUUUUGCUUUUGCCCUUUUUGUUUUGCUUAAGUCUUGAUGCUGUCUGGAGCAUCAGGACUAGGUUUUGUGGCCUUAAGUCAUUGUGGGUUUUUCUUUUGUUAUUUGUGUUGUGUCCCUUGGGGGUGUAUUUAUUGUUUCAACCUCUUUUGUUCAUAACCCAAACUGGACAAUAAAUUAUUACUUUUUU